CCAUACUAGCAAAUGCGCUUACUCUGAUAAAUCAGCAUAUCAUCUAUUUUUGUUGUGCUGGCAAUAAGUGUGGUCCCAUUCAAAUUGUGUGUUUGUGUGUUGUAGGCCAAGGCUCAUUACAGAUAAAGGGGGUGGGGAAACUAGUUCAAAUUUAUAGCCUGUCUCAGCUGUGUCAAAUUUGGCAAACUCAAAUGGUCAGCUUGCAAAUGGUUGGGGUAUACUUAGGGGUCAGAGGCCUUUCUAAUAACUGCAAAUCUGUACAUUUUUAGCACUCUACAUGUAUAAAUGAAAAAGUGUGAUUAAUGUAAUUAGAUUUCAGGUAUGUUACAUGUUGAUACAUUUGUACACAUUUGUCAUCAUUUACCCCCUCACGUCUGAGUAUGACACUUCUAGAAAGUCCACUCUGACAUAACAUUCCAUAAGAGGCAAAUAUGUACGUUCUGUCUUCAUACAGAGUGAUGGUGAGUGCCCUCCUAUGAGUCUAUGGAGCCCUCUCACCAGAGCACUGCUGAGUGACCUACUAGCAGGCGUUUGGGUGGCAUGAAUGGAGGUGCCCCACUGCUGUGCAGAAAUCCACAUGGGGAAGCAACAGGGAUAUUCUCCAAGCUCAUCCUUUGAAACAAUCAGAGUUUUUAUUAUUCAUAAAGAGGACCACCCACUUUCUAAACCUUCGCCUCUAUUUUUGCAGGGUCAGAAAAGAGUGACCAGUUGUUCUUUAUGGCGGAGAUCUUUACGAUGUGGUUGGAGCUGUUGGGAGACCACCAAUCGUCCUUUCACUUGUUACUGGAGGAAGCCUUUGGUCAACUGGUGGCAAAAAAAUUAAUUGAUUUGAGACUACGCUGAAGACAGGAUCAAAUAUCCACAGAUGCCUGGCAAACAUUCUUUGAAGAAGCAAAUAGGUUUUCCAGGUGAUGUGGUGUCUAUUACUGCUGCAUAAGAAAUUGUGGUUUAUUUUUGUAUUGCUGUAUGUGCAUCUAUAUGUAUACAUACAAAUGUGUUUUAAGCAUGUUUCCUUACUCUCAAAUUAUGAAUGUUACCUUGCUUACCUGCCUCUUGCUCGUUUUUGCUUUGUUUUUACUAAAAAACAAACAUUGGUUGUUGUCAAAUUAUGCCAGAGACUACAGUUUGGGCAACACAACUUGAUGGAUGGACUGACUGACAGCGUUUAAGAAGUGACAUUAACUAGUGGAAUCAUUGCUACAAAGUCUGUCAGUGGCUACAAAUGCCUGUCACCCAUUGGGCAGAAUGAGUUGUCAGAGAUGCUUAACUGCUGUAUUUUACAACUUUGCUGGCUGGUCAAGAGCGCCAGUGAUGUGAAGGAGUGGAAGAUGUAAGCACUGGGCUUGCUAAAUCCUUACACAGAGCUCACAUUACACAAUGUUGUGUUUGAAUGGACUAUUUUAUGGUGAAAUGUAUAAUAAACUAUAACA